CCUACGGGUGGCAGCAGUGGGGAAUAUUGGACAAUGGGCGAAAGCCUGAUCCCGCCAUGCCGCGUGUGUGAAGAAGGCCUUCGGGUUGUAAAGCACUUUCAGUGGGGAAGAAAGCCUUGGGGCUAAUACCCUCGAGGAAGGACAUCACCCACAGAAGAAGCACCGGCUAACUCCGUGCCAGCAGCCGCGGUAAUACGGAGGGUGCGAGCGUUAAUCGGAAUUACUGGGCGUAAAGCGCGCGUAGGCGGUCUUAUAAGCCGGUUGUGAAAGCCCCGGGCUCAACCUGGGAACGGCAUCCGGAACUGUCAGGCUAGAGUGCAGGAGAGGAAGGUAGAAUUCCCGGUGUAGCGGUGAAAUGCGUAGAGAUCGGGAGGAAUACCAGUGGCGAAGGCGGCCUUCUGGACUGACACUGACGCUGAGGUGCGAAAGCGUGGGUAGCAAACAGGAUUAGAUACCCCGGUAGUC
rnacentral:rRNA from 1 species